rnacentral:lncRNA from 1 species
CUAUUUGAAAGAAAGUACAGAGUGGGAUGGGGGAGGAGCAAAGCAAGAAUACGGACACAAAACAAGACAAGGUAAGUGAAACAAAGCACAAUAAAGCUCGAAGGGAAACGUUGUGAUAGCGCGGCAGCCUCGAAGAAGCCUGAGACGGAGCCGAAGCAUCCACAACAGUAGUCGCACCAAUAUAGUUAGGUCCCCAACGCCGUUUUCCACAAUCUGACCGUAGACAGAAUGUUCCGCUCACUCUAGGAUCUGCAAAAAGAGUGGGAUGAGAACUACAAGAAGUUUCCAGUGAGUUCGGCUGCCGACACCGCACUUUCCCACUAGGUCUAUUCAGGUAUAAGUAGAGAAAGGUAAAUAACCAAUAAACAACUCAUCCCUACAUUAGAAAAAAUUUAAGUGAAUUAAAUGUCAGACAUCACAAAACA